AUUACUCCUACGGGAGGCAGCAGUGGGGAAUAUUGCGCAAUGGGCGGAAGCCUGACGCAGCGACGCCGCGUGAGGGAUGACGGCCUUCGGGUUGUAAACCUCUUUCGACAGGGACGAAUUGUGACGGUACCUGUGGAAGAAGCACCGGCCAACUACGUGCCAGCAGCCGCGGUAAUAAU
rnacentral:rRNA from 1 species